rnacentral:rRNA from 1 species
AGAGUUUGAUCCUGGCUCAGAACGAACGCUGGCGGCGUGGAUUAGGCAUGCAAGUCGAACGCGAACGGGAGACGAACAUUCCUUCGGGAAUGGGAUGCUCCCUAGUAGAGUGGCGAACGGGUGAGUAACGCGUGGGUAACCUUCCCUCGAGAUGGGGAUAACACUCCCAACGGGGUGCUAAUACCGAAUAAUAUCAUCUUUUCAUACGCUGAGAUGAUCAAAGGUGGCCUCACGAAAUGUUCUGGCGCUCCAGGAUGGGCCCGCGUCCCAUUAGCUUGUUGGUAGGGUAACGGCCUACCAAGGCGACGAUGGGUAGCCGGCCUGAGAGGGUGAACGGCCACACUGGGACUGAGACACGGCCCAGACUCCUACGGGAGGCAGCAGUGGGGAAUAUUGCGCAAUGGGCGAAAGCCUGACGCAGCAACGCCGCGUGGAGGAUGAAGGUUUUCGGAUUGUAAACUCCUUUCAGCAGGGACGAAGGUUACCUUUGGUAAUUGACGGUACCUGAAGAAGAAGCCCCGGCUGAAGCCCCGGCUAACUACGUGCCAGCAGCCGCGGUAAUACGUAGGGGGCAAGCGUUGUCCGGAAUUAUUGGGCGUAAAGCGCGCGCAGGCGGCCCGUUAAGUCAGAUGUGAAAUCCCUCGGCUCAACCGAGGACCUGCAUUUGAAACUGACAGGCUAGAGUACAGGAGAGGGAAGCGGAAUUCCUAGUGUAGCGGUGAAAUGCGCAGAUAUUAGGAAGAACACCGGUGGCGAAGGCGGCUUCCUGGACUGUUACUGACGCUGAGGUGCGAAAGCUAGGGGAGCAAACAGGAUUAGAUACCCUGGUAGUCCUAGCCGUAAACGAUGGGCACUAGGUGUAGGGGGUAUCAACUCCCCCUGUGCCGAAGCUAACGCAUUAAGUGCCCCGCCUGGGGAGUACGGCCGCAAGGCUAAAACUCAAAGGAAUUGACGGGGGCCCGCACAAGCGGCGGAGCAUGUGGCUUAAUUCGACGCAACGCGAAGAACCUUACCUGGACUUGACAUAUAAGUGAAAGCUGUGGAAACAUGGCCCCCCUUUGGGGCGCUUAUACAGGUGGUGCAUGGUUGUCGUCAGCUCGUGUCGUGAGAUGUUGGGUUAAGUCCCGCAACGAGCGCAACCCCUGUCCUAUGUUGCCAGCAGUUCGGCUGGGCACUCUAAGGAGACUGCCGGUGAUAAACCGGAGGAAGGUGGGGAUGACGUCAAGUCCUCAUGGUCCUUACGUCCGGGGCUACACACGUGCUACAAUGACGGGUACAGAGGGUCGCAAGGCCGCAAGGUGGAGCCAAUCCCAGAAAACCGGCCUCAGUUCGGAUCGGAGUCUGCAACUCGACUUCGUGAAGUUGGAAUCGCUAGUAAUCGCGGAUCAGCAGGCCGCGGUGAAUACGUUCCCGGGCCUUGUACACAGAGCCC